UACAGAGGUCCCGAGCGUUGUUCGGAUUCAUUGGGCGUAAAGGGUGCGUAGGCGGCGGGGUAAGUUUGAUGUGAAAUCCCGGGGCUCAACCCUGGAAUUGCAUUGAAUACUACCUUGCUAGAGUACCGGAGAGGAAACUGGAAUUUACGGUGUAGCAGUGGAAAUGCGUAGAGAUCGUAAGGAAGACCAGUGGCGAAGGCGAGUUUCUGGACGGUAACUGACGCUGAGGCACGAA
rnacentral:rRNA from 1 species